CAGCUGUGACGUUUCUCUGUAAACAUCAUGGAAAAAUUCGAUAGUUUUUAUCUUUGCAGAAUGUAAAAAAGAAAAUAAUUUGAUACAAACUGCAGUCUAUACAUUCGUAAUAGCAUACCUGUUCUACACGUAUACAUCUAUAUUAUUACGCCUUCCUUGCAUUGCAAACACUCAAAUUUCAAGAAAAACGCGCUAAAAUUAUCGAUAUUUCAUGCAAAAAAAGUUGUUUUGAGAAACGUUGGAAAUUUUGAAGUUCAUAUUUAUAAUAAAAAAGUGUAUGCCAGCAGAAAAUGACAUAUUCCUCGCGGAAGCAUCUAGCCGACCGAAAAAAAAUAGUAGUGGAAAAUUACCUUAUGGCUAGGAACAAAAUAUCGAUAACUAUGUGUGACGUUUCUAAGGGGGGGUGGGGGUGUCUCCAGAGAAACGAACAUAUGACGUUUCUCAUGGACAAAAUCGAUAUGUGAGGCUUCCCUUAUGACAAAGG